rnacentral:lncRNA from 1 species
UUUAAAUAUUUGUUUUUCAGUUUUCGGUGGACACAAUGUCUUUAUUUUAUUUUUAUGUGGUACUGAGGAUUGAACCCAGCGCUGUGCACAUGCCAGGCGAGCGCGUUACCGCUUGAGCCACGUCCCCAGCCCUUGUUGUUUGUAUUCUUAAUAGCUUCCAUUCUGACUGGAGUGAGAAGAAAUUUUAAGAGGAGUUUUGAUUUGCAUUUCUCUAAUUGCUAAAGAUGUUGAAAAUUUUUUCAUAUAUUUGUUGAUUGAUUGUAUAUCAUCCUCUGAGAAGUGCCUGUUCAGUUCCUUGGCCCAUUUAUUGAUUUGGUUAUUUGUUUUUUGUUGUUGAGAAGAAGCUUUUUAGUUUGAAUCCAUCCCAUUUAUUGAUUCUUGAUGUUAAUUCUUGCACUACAGGAGUUUUAUUAAGGAAGUUGGGGCCUAAUCUGACAUGAUGGAGAUUUGGGCUUACUUUUUCUUCUAGGUGCAACGUCACUGGUUUAAUUCCUAGAUCCACUUUGAGUUGAGUUUUGUUAAUGAUGAGAGACAGGGGUUUAAUUUCAUUUUGUUGAAUGUGGAUUUCCAGUUUUUCCAGCACCAUUUGUUAAAGAGGCUAUCUUUUCUCCAAUGUAUGUUUUUGGUGCCUUUGUCUAAUAUACGAUAAUUGUAAUUAUGUGGGUUUGUCUCUGUGUCCUCUAUUCUGUACCAUUGGUCUACAAGUCUAUUUUGGUGCCAAUACCAUGCUUUUUCUGCUACUAUUGCUCUGCAGUAUAGUUUAAGGUCUUGUAUACCCACAUUAGAUUUUGAGAUGUGGAAUAUCAGAGAAAAAGAACCUCAAUUUUAGGGAGCCAUAGGGACAAGAAGUAUCCUCAGGGAACAUUUGGGCUCCAGAUAGAACCAGAAAGUAAAGGGAAGGUAACAGGAGUUUGCUAAGGCACUGUAUUCCAGAAGGCACAGUGGAAGGGUUUAAGAGUGUGGGAGGGUGCCGCAGUCCGGCUGGCUGCAG